GCCGAAAUAGCUCAGUUGGGAGAGCGUCAGACUGAAGAUCUGAAGGUCCCUGGUUCGAUCCCGGGUUUCGGCA
rfam:Oreochromis niloticus linkage group LG12, whole genome shotgun sequence.